rnacentral:rRNA from 1 species
AGCGAACGCUGGCGGCAGCCCUAACAUAUGCAAGUCAAACGAACCCCGCGGGGAUAGUGGCGGACGGGUGAGUCACACGGGGGAACGUGCCUUUAGGUUGGGAAUACCUCAGGGAAACGUGCUAAAACACCGAAUGCGCUCUUCGGGGGAGAGAUUUAGCGCCUUUAGAGCGGCCCGUGUCUGAUUAGCUGGUUGGUGAGGUAAAGGCUCACCAAGGCUACGAUCAGUAGCUGGUCUGAGAGGAUGACCAGCCACAUUGGGACUGAGACACGGCCCAAACUCCUACGGGAGGCAGCAGUGGGGAAUCUUGCGCAAUGGGCGAAAGCCUGACGCAGCCAUGCCGCGUGGAUGAUGAAGGUCUUAGGAUUGUAAAAUCCUUUCACCGGUGAAGAUAAUGACUGUAGCCGGAGAAGAAGCCCCGGCUAACUUCGUGCCAGCCGCCGCGGUAACAC